GUCCACGCCGUAAACGUUGGGCACUAGGUGUGGGUUCCAACCAACGGAAUCCGCGCCGUCGCUAACGCAUUAAGUGCCCAGCCUGGGGAGUACGAUCGCAAGAUUAAAACUCAAAGGAAUUGACGGGGCCCGCACAAGCAGCGGAGCGUGUUGCUUAAUUCGAUGCAACGCGAAGAACCUUACCUGGGCUUGACAUGUACGGAAAAGCCGUAGAGAUACGGUGUCCUUCGGGGCCGUACACAGGUGGUGCAUGGCUGUCGU
rnacentral:rRNA from 1 species